CCCACUUACUCUGAAGUUGACUGUCAGCGGCGGAAGAAUCGGAGGAAGGAUUGAUUUUUGGUUCAGAUAUAAAACAUGGCUGCUUCAGCACACGGAUGAUGGUUAUGUAAAUUUCAGCGCAAGUGGAAUCGGAUUCGAUGUAAAUAUAAUAGCAGAUUUGGCCAAUAAGUCCCUUCAAGCUUACAGUUGCAGUAGCCCACGUAGUUCUGUACGCAUGAAAUUCCGUGGAAGUAGAUGGGGGUGGCUUUAUAAUCGUUUCAGAGGAAAACU